ACGCUAGCUACAGGCUUAACACAUGCAAGUCGAGGGGCAGCAUGGUCUUAGCUUGCUAAGGCCGAUGGCGACCGGCGCACGGGUGAGUAACACGUAUCCAACCUGCCGUCUACUCUUGGACAGCCUUCUGAAAGGAAGAUUAAUACAAGAUGGCAUCAUGAGUCCGCAUGUUCACAUGAUUAAAGGUAUUCCGGUAGACGAUGGGGAUGCGUUCCAUUAGAUAGUAGGCGGGGUAACGGCCCACCUAGUCUUCGAUGGAUAGGGGUUCUGAGAGGAAGGUCCCCCACAUUGGAACUGAGACACGGUCCAAACUCCUACGGGAGGCAGCAGUGAGGAAUAUUGGUCAAUGGGCGAGAGCCUGAACCAGCCAAGUAGCGUGAAGGAUGACUGCCCUAUGGGUUGUAAACUUCUUUUAUAAAGGAAUAAAGUCGGGUAUGGAUACCCGUUUGCAUGUACUUUAUGAAUAAGGAUCGGCUAACUCCGUGCCAGCAGCCGCGGUAAUACGGAGGAUCCGAGCGUUAUCCGGAUUUAUUGGGUUUAAAGGGAGCGUAGAUGGAUGUUUAAGUCAGUUGUGAAAGUUUGCGGCUCAACCGUAAAAUUGCAGUUGAUACUGGAUAUCUUGAGUGCAGUUGAGGCAGGCGGAAUUCGUGGUGUAGCGGUGAAAUGCUUAGAUAUCACGAAGAACUCCGAUUGCGAAGGCAGCCUGCUAAGCUGCAACUGACAUUGAGGCUCGAAAGUGUGGGUAUCAAACAGGAUUAGAUACCCUGGUAGUCCACACGGUAAACGAUGAAUACUCGCUGUUUGCGAUAUACUGCAAGCGGCCAAGCGAAAGCGUUAAGUAUUCCACCUGGGGAGUACGCCGGCAACGGUGAAACUCAAAGGAAUUGACGGGGGCCCGCACAAGCGGAGGAACAUGUGGUUUAAUUCGAUGAUACGCGAGGAACCUUACCCGGGCUUAAAUUGCAGAUGAAUUACGGUGAAAGCCGUAAGCCGCAAGGCAUCUGUGAAGGUGCUGCAUGGUUGUCGUCAGCUCGUGCCGUGAGGUGUCGGCUUAAGUGUCAUAACGAGCGCAACCCUUGUUGUCAGUUACUAACAGGUUCCGCUGAGGACUCUGACAAGACUGCCAUCGUAAGAUGUGAGGAAGGUGGGGAUGACGUCAAAUCAGCACGGCCCUUACGUCCGGGGCUACACACGUGUUACAAUGGGGGGUACAGAGGGCCGCUACCACGCGAGUGGAUGCCAAUCCCCAAAACCUCUCUCAGUUCGGACUGGAGUCUGCAACCCGACUCCACGAAGCUGGAUUCGCUAGUAAUCGCGCAUCAGCCACGGCGCGGUGAAUACGUUCCCGGGCCUUGUACACACCGCCCGUCAAGCCAUGGGAGCCGGGGGUACCUGAAGUGCGUAACCGCGAGGAGCGCCCUAGGGUAAAACUGGUGACUG
rnacentral:rRNA from 1 species